ensembl:lncRNA
CAUAUUCUAAAUUAUCUGAAAAUUAAGCCUUGUGAUUGUUUUUACAUUUGUAUUUUUAACAGUUUGGAUUGCAAGAGCCUCUAAUAUUUUUAAUCCCUAUUUCCUUGAGAAGACGCUCAAUAAAGAUACCUGAGGUAUUGAAAAAGGAUACUGGUCACAACAGAAAGGCAAGGAGAAACCCAGAUGGAAACAGAUACCGAAGAAGAGUCCAAAUCUCUCCACAUGUUGAUCCAUCUCACUCAUCAUGCUCUCUAUAUCACAUCCAAAAUGAAGAACUCUUCUGCAGAGAUCACUUCAGGAAAUCUUCUAGAAAGAAAAUAAAAUCAAGUACACACAAGAAGAGACUACCAGAAAGAUAUGUGCUCUGUUCUCAGUCUAGUGAAAAGUGAUAAAAAAAGAUGUAGAUCUGCAGUUUCCGACAGGACAGCUUAUUCACACCAAGCUGAAGGAAAGUUAGGUUUGUACUGUGGGUGCUUUGGAUGGACAUGGACUCUGGGAGGAUUCCAUUACAAACAUACAAUCAAACAAGCAAAAGUAUAGCUAUUUCCACUGGAAUUCUUGAGAUGCAGUUCUGGGGAGAAGGUUAUAUUACAUGAAUGCGGCUUUUACACAGACACUGUUUUAGAAGUGUGGUUCAAAGACCUGCCAUGUGGAAACAAAUACAAGCAGAGCUCAACUACUGAUGGGUGCUAAAGGAUGAAAUAAGUCUUGUAGGACUGGAAAGUCCAGAAGCCUGCAUAAGAAGGUCACCACUUGUCAGAAGUGGAUUUAAGUUCCUCUGUUUUGUUGUAAGAUGCUGUUUUCUAAGAAUUUAUGCAGUGGUUUAUUAAAGAGGAAGAAAACAUAUGUGGCUACUCUUGCUGUUCGUGAAGGGUACAGUGACAAGCUGUGGCCUAAUCAGAGGUUCACACACGCCUGAG